rnacentral:rRNA from 1 species
UUCUUUAAGAAAAUAAUUUAAAGUAAAACCUGCUCAAUGUUAUAUAAUAAAUAGCCGCAGUUCAACUGUGCUAAGGUAGCAUAAUAAUUUGCUUUCUAAAUAAAAGAUAGAAUGAAAGGCCACCCGACAGAAGACUAUAUUAUUUAUAUAAACAAAAUUAAUAUUUAUGUAAAAAAGCAUAAAACAAAAAAUAAGACGAAAAGACCCUACUAAACUUAACAUUCUGUUGGGGUAACAAAAUAAUAAAACCUUAUUAAUAUAUACAAAAAUAAAUAAUUAACACUAAACCAAGUUACUAUAGGGAUAACAGCGCAAUUUUCUUUUAGAGAACUAAUCAAAAAGAAAGAUUACGACCUCGAUGUUGAAUUGAUAAAACUUAAAAACGUAAAAAUUAUUUAAAGUUAGUCUGUUCGACUAUUAAACCAUC